UACGUAGGGGGCAAGCGUUGUCCGGAAUCAUUGGGCGUAAAGCGCACGUAGGCGGCCUUGUAAGUCGGAUGUGAAAUCCCACGGCUCAACCGUGGACGUGCAUUCGAAACUGCUCGGCUCGAGUAUGGAAGAGGGUCGCGGAAUUCCCGGUGUAGAGGUGAAAUUCGUAGAUAUCGGGAGGAACACCAGUGGCGAAGGCGGCGACCUGGGCCAAUACUGACGCUGAGGUGCGAAAGCGUGGGGAGCAAACAGG
rnacentral:rRNA from 1 species